rnacentral:misc_RNA from 1 species
AUCACCGGCUAAGUCAUCGCUGUUGAAAAAUUAUUGCCUACGUCCCUGCUCGCGAAAGCACAGCGUGAUACGUCCCUGUACACGAAACCACAGCGUGAUUAUGAGGCACCGUUACCACUUUUGUAAUGGCCAAAAAUGGCUAUAAAACGAGGAUAGAUAUCGGGUGAACUGAGCAGCCAGAACGUGGAGGAAACAGAGACAACGAAAAUGAGCAGUGGAGUAGGGAAGAUCGUUUGCGUCACCGGGGCCUCCGGUUACAUUGCUUCCUGGCUUGU